UACGGAGGGGGCUAGCGUUGCUCGGAAUGACUGGGCGUAAAGGGCGCGUAGGCGGAUGGCUUUGUCGGGCGUGAAAUUCCAGGGCUUAACCUUGGGGCUGCGUUCGAGACGGGUUGUCUUGAGUGGGGAAGAGGGUCGUGGAACUCCGAGUGUAGAGGUGAAAUUCGUAGAUAUUCGGAAGAACACCAGUGGCGAAGGCGACUCACUGGCCCGAUACUGACGCUGAGGCGCGAAAGCGUGGGGAGCAAACAGG
rnacentral:rRNA from 1 species